rnacentral:tRNA from 1 species
CAGGGAGACAACAAAAUGUUAAAUAUUAAUUUUGUCACCUUAGGUCGAUCGGUAUCUCACAUUCUUAAUUAUUAAGGAUUUUAUUUCCUAAGUUUUUUCUAGGUCACACCCAUCACUUUUCCUGGGCCAUUAGCUCAGGUGGUUAGAGCGCACCCCUGAUAAGGGUGAGGUCCCUGGUUCAAGUCCAGGAUGGCCCAUAUCUCUAUGUUGGGGGUAUAGCUCAGUUGGUAGAGCGCCUGCUUUGCAAGCAGGAUGUCAGCGGUUCGAGUCCGCUUACCUCCACUGAAUCACCACCUCUUCCAUAAUUUAUAGAAGGGAAAUGUUAUGAGUUGUGAUCAAAUUCUGAACGAAUCUAGCUUCCUAAUUAAACUCAUUAAGAUGCUGGACUCAUUGAAUUAAAUUCAUUGUUUUCAGAGAACCUUGACAACUGCAUAGAUUUUUUUUAAAGACAAUAAGCAUCUUUAAUGAUGCAGAUUUAUUAUUUGUGCGAAUGCAUUAAUAACAAUUCUAUUAAGCUGAUGCUUCAA